rnacentral:rRNA from 1 species
AAUAGAUACCCGGGUAGUCCACGCCGUAAACGAUGAGUGCUAAGUGUUAGAGGGUUUCCGCCCUUUAGUGCUGCAGCAAACGCAUUAAGCACUCCGCCUGGGGAGUACGGUCGCAAGACUGAAACUCAAAGGAAUUGACGGGGGCCCGCACAAGCGGUGGAGCAUGUGGUUUAAUUCGAAGCAACGCGAAGAACCUUACCAGGUCUUGACAUCCUCUGACACCCCUAGAGAUAGGGCUUCCCCUUCGGGGGCAGAGUGACAGGUGGUGCAUGGUUGUCGUCAGCUCGUGUCGUGAGAUGUUGGGCUAAGUCCCGCAACGAGCGCAACCCUUGAUCUUAGUUGCCAGCAUUCAGUUGGGCACUCUAAGGUGACUGCCGGUGACAAACCGGAGGAAGGUGGGGAUGACGUCAAAUCAUCAUGCCCCUUAUGACCUGGGCUACACACGCGCUACAAUGGGCAGAACAAAGGGCAGCGAAGCCGCGAGGCUAAGCCAAUCCCACAAAUCUGCUCUCAGUUCGGAUCG